GAUGAACGCUGGCGGCAGGCCUAACACAUGCAAGUCGAGCGGAAAGGCCACUUCGGUGGUACUCGAGCGGCGAACGGGUGAGUAACACGUGAGUAAUCUGCCCUUCACUUUGGGAUAACCCCCGGAAACGGGAGCUAAUACCGGAUAUGACCACCGUCCGCAUGGGCUGGUGGUGGAAACUUUUUUGGGUGGGGGAUGUGCUCGCGGCCUAUCAGCUUGUUGGUGGGGUAAUGGCCUACCAAGGCUUUGACGGGUAGCCGGCCUGAGAGGGUGACCGGCCACACUGGGACUCAGACACGGCCCAGACUCCUACGGGAGGGAGCAGAGGGGAAUAUUGGACAAUGGGCGGAAGCCUGAUGCAGCAUCGCCGCGUGAGGGAUGACGGCCUUCGGGUUGUAAACCUCUUUCAGCACCGAAGAAGCGCAAGUGACGGUAGGUGCAGAAGAAGGACCGGCCAACUACGUGCCAGCCGCCGCCGUAA
rnacentral:rRNA from 1 species